CCCAGCUGAUAAGUGAAGGAUCCACGCUGUGAGGCUGUACAAGAACUGCUUCCUGCUUGCACAGGGUAAAGAUCUCUUUGCAGCUAAGAUAAUACAAGGACUAAUAGCUCAUUUUAUACUGAGAAAGAAUCUUUUUUCUGUCAUUUAGUUUUGUAGCUUGUUGGUAUUUGUUAUAGCUUU